GACGAACCGUGCGAACGUUGUUCGGAUUCACUGGGCUUAAAGGGCGCGUAGGCGGUCGACCAAGUCUGGGGUGAAAUCUUUCGGCUCAACCGGAAAAGUGCCCCCGAUACUGGCCGGCUAGAGGGAGAUAGGGGCAUGCGGAACUUCCGGUGGAGCGGUGAAAUGCGUAGAUAUCGGAAGGAACGCCGGUGGCGAAAGCGGCGUGCUGGAUCUCUUCUGACGCUGAGGCGCGAAAGCUAGGGUAGCGAACGGG
rnacentral:rRNA from 1 species